AUGGCUCCGAAGCAGGCAAGUACGGGUCUUUUUGUAGGAUUGAACAAGGGUCAUGUUGUUACCAAGAAGGAGUUGGCUACACGACCCUCAAGUCGUAAAGGGAAAACUAGCAAGCGGGUCCAUUUUGUGAGGAAUCUCAUCCGUGAGGUUGCAGGUUUUGCGCCUUAUGAGAAGCGAAUAACUGAGUUAUUGAAGGUUGGAAAAGACAAGAGGGCACUUAAAGUUGCCAAGAGAAAGCUUGGAACCCAUAAACGCGCAAAGAAGAAGCGCGAGGAGAUGUCUAAUGUUCUUAGAAAGAUGAGGGCUGGUGGUGCUGGUGAUAAAAAGAAGUAA